UACGUAGGCAGCGAGCGUUGUUCGGAGUUACUGGGCGUAAAGAGUGCGUAGGCGGUUUUCUAAGUUUGGUGUGAAAUCUCCCGGCUUAACUGGGAGGGUGCGCCGAAGACUGGAAGGCUUGAGUAUGGGAGGGGUAAGCGGAGUUCCUGGUGUAGCGGUGAAAUGCGUAGAUAUCAGGAGGAACACCGGUGGCGAAGGCGGGUCUCUGGGCAGUAACUGACGCUGAGGAGCGAAAGCGUGGGGAGCGAACAGG
rnacentral:rRNA from 1 species